AUUGAACGCUGGCGGCAGGCCUAACACAUGCCAGUCGAGCGGAUGAAGGGAGCUUGCUCCUGGAUUCAGCGGCGGACGGGUGAGUAAUGCCUAGGAAUCUGCCUGGUAGUGGGGGAUAACGUCCGGAAACGGGCGCUAAUACCGCAUACGUCCUGAGGGAGAAAGUGGGGGAUCUUCGGACCUCACGCUAUCAGAUGAGCCUAGGUCGGAUUAGCUAGUCGGUGGGGUAAAGGCCUACCAAGGCGACGAUCCGUAACUGGUCUGAGAGGAUGAUCAGUCACACUGGAACUGAGACACGGUCCAGACUCCUACGGGAGGCAGCAGUGGGGAAUAUUGGACAAUGGGCGAAAGCCUGAUCCAGCCAUGCCGCGUGUGUGAAGAAGGUCUUCGGAUUGUAAAGCACUUUAAGUUGGGAGGAAGGGCAGUAAGUUAAUACCUUGCUGUUUUGACGUUACCAACAGAAUAAGCACCGGCUAACUUCGUG
rnacentral:rRNA from 1 species